rnacentral:rRNA from 1 species
AACGGCGAGUGAAGCGGCAAUAGCUCAAAUUUGAAAGCUGGCGUCUUCGACGUCCGCGUUGUAAUUUGUAGAGGAUGCUUCGGCGAAGACUCCUGCCUAAGUCCCCUGGAACGGGGCGUCAUAGAGGGUGAGAAUCCCGUAUGUGGCGGGCAGUCUAAGCCAUGUGAAGCUCCUUCGACGAGUCGAGUUGUUUGGGAAUGCAGCUCUAAAUGGGAGGUAAAUUUCUUCUAAAGCUAAAUAUUGGCCAGAGACCGAUAGCGCACAAGUAGAGUGAUCGAAAGAUGAAAAGCACUUUGGAAAGAGAGUUAAAAAGUACGUGAAAUUGUUGAAAGGGAAGCGCUUGCAACCAGACUCGCUCGUAGUUGCUCAGCCGGCCUCUUGGCCGGUGUACUCUUCUACGAUCGGGCCAGCAUCAGUUCGGGCGGCAGGAUAAAGGUGUCGGGAAUGUAGCACCCUUCGGGGUGUGUUAUAGCCCGGCGCGGAAUGCUGCCAGCCUGGACUGAGGAUCUCGCUUCGGCAAGGAUGCUGGCGUAAUGGUUGUAAGCGGCCCGUCUUGAAACACGGACCAAGGAGUCUAACAUCUAUGCGAGUGUUUGGGUGUCAAACCCAUGCGCGUAAUGAAAGUGAACGGAGGUGGGAACCCCUCACGGGGUGCACCAUCGACCGAUCCUGAUGUCUUCGGAUGGAUUUGAGUAAGAGCAUAGCUGUUGGGACCCGAAAGAUGGUGAACUAUGCCUGAAUAGGGUGAAGCCAGAGGAAACUCUGGUGGAGGCUCGCAGCGGGUUCUGACGUGCAAAUCGAUCGUCAAAUUUGGGUAUAGGGGCGAAAGACUAAU